rnacentral:snRNA from 1 species
AGAGCUCCAAGUGGGCCA